GGACCUCAGAUCAGGCAAGACCACCCGCUGAGUUUAAGC
rnacentral:rRNA from 1 species